AGUGAACGCUGGCGGUAGGCCUAACACAUGCAAGUCGAACGGCAGCACAGUAAGAGCUUGCUCUUACGGGUGGCGAGUGGCGGACGGGUGAGGAAUACAUCGGAAUCUACUUUUUCGUGGGGGAUAACGUAGGGAAACUUACGCUAAUACCGCAUACGACCUACGGGUGAAAGCAGGGGAUCUUCGGACCUUGCGCGAUUGAAUGAGCCGAUGUCGGAUUAGCUAGUUGGCGGGGUAAAGGCCCACCAAGGCGACGAUCCGUAGCUGGUCUGAGAGGAUGAUCAGCGGCACUGGAACUGAGACACGGUACAGACUCCUACGAGAGGCAGCAGUGGGGAAUAUUGGACAAUGGGCGCAAGCCUGAUCCAGCCAUGCCGCGUGGGUGAAGAAGGCCUUCGGGUUGUAAAGCCCUUUUGUUGGGAAAGAAGAGCAGCAGGUUAAUACCGCGCUGUUCUGACGGUACCCAAAGAAUAAGCACCGGCUAACUUCGUG
rnacentral:rRNA from 1 species